UCUGUGACCUCAGGAUUACCAUUGUUACAGAUGGAGUGAGUGGGGAUGAUUAGGCACUCCCUAACUGCACCUGGAACUCCUGCUACCUGGAUACCGGAACUGUGCAGUCUGGAAGAACCAAAUUCUGAGAAAAGUCAUUGUUCUCACCUAGUCCAAACUUCCACAGAAACCAGUGGGCAUCUGUUUGUGGAAAUGGGAAGAGGUCACAAUCCUAUGAAUAAAGAGCACUGGAUUUCAAAGCUUUCACACACAAAUUCUACAGGGCUCAAGAAUGAAGAGGAGAAAACAAGGGCUUAGCUAGCUAAGGAGUUGGCGGGCUCAUCUUCAAGGCCAGGGCAGAUCAGAAGAGCUAGAAGAUGCAUAAAUUGGAUCAGACUACAGGUGUUAAUUUGCUAAAAUAAUAAAUAAAUA